rnacentral:rRNA from 1 species
GAUGAACGCUGGCGGCGUGCCUAAUACAUGCAAGUCGAGCGAACGGACGAUAAGCUUGCUUCUCUGAUGUUUGCGGCGGACGGGUGAGUAACACGUGGAUAACCCACCUAUAUGUCUGGGAUAACCUCGGGAAACCGGAUCUUAUACCGGAUAAUAUUUUGAACCGCAUGGUUCAAAAGUGAAAGACGGCCUUGCUGUCACUUAUAGAUGCAUCCGGGCUGCAUUAGCUAGUUGGUAAGGUAACGGCUUACCAAGGCAACGAUGCGUAGCCGACCUGAGAGGGGGAUCGGCCACACGAGAACGGAAACACGGACCAGACUCCUGCGAGAGGCAGCAGUAGGGAAUCUGACGCAAUGGGCGAAAGCCUGACGGAGCAACGCCGCGUGAGUGAUGAAGGUCUUCGGAUCGUAAAACUCUGUUAUUAGGGAAGAACAUAUGUGUAAGUAAAUGUGCACAUCUUGACGGUACCUAAUCAGAAAGCCACGGCUAACUACGUG